CUCCCGCCAGCUCUCAUCCGCCCUUUCCUUCGCGGCCUCUGUCGAGGCUGCUGUGUCCUGCGGAGCUCCGAGCACAUGCUGGUAUUAAUAGCUGGCUGCCUCUAAUCUGGAAUGUUUGGAUUUCAUAG
rnacentral:lncRNA from 1 species